GAUGAACGCUGGCGGCGUGCCUAAUACAUGCAAGUCGAGCGAACGGACGAGAAGCUUGCUUCUCUGAUGUUAGCGGCGGACGGGUGAGUAACACGUGGAUAACCUACCUAUAAGACUGGGAUAACUUCGGGAAACCGGAGCUAAUACCGGAUGAUAUUUUGAACCGCAUGGUUCAAAAGUGAAAGACGGUCUUGCUGUCACUUAUAGAUGGAUCCGCGCUGCAUUAGCUAGUUGAUAAGGUAACGGCUUACCAAGGCAACGAUGCAUAGCCGACCUGAGAGGGUGAUCGGCCACACUGGAACUGAGACACGGUCCAGACUCCUACGGGAGGCAGCAGUAGGGAAUCUUCCGCAAAGGGCGAAAGCCUGACGGAGCAACGCCGCGUGAGUGAUGAAGGUCUUCGGAUCGUAAAACUCUGUUAUUAGGGAAGAACAUAUGUGUAAGUAACUGUGCACAUCUUGACGGUACCUAAUCAGAAAGCCACGGCUAACUACGUG
rnacentral:rRNA from 1 species